rnacentral:rRNA from 1 species
GACGAACGCUGGCGGCGUGCUUAACACAUGCAAGUCGUACGGUAAGGCCCUUUCGGGGGUACACGAGUGGCGAACGGGUGAGUAACACGUGAGUAACCUGCCCACAACUUUGGGAUAACGCUAGGAAACUGGUGCUAAUACUGGAUAUGUGCUCCUGCUGCAUGGUGGGGGUUGGAAAGCUCCGGCGGUUGUGGAUGGACUCGCGGCCUAUCAGCUUGUUGGUGGGGUAGUGGCCUACCAAGGCGGCGACGGGUAGCCGGCCUGAGAGGGUGACCGGCCAUAUUGGGACUGAGAUACGGCCCAGACUCCUACGGGAGGCAGCAGUGGGGAAUAUUGCACAAUGGGCGCAAGCCUGAUGCAGCAACGCCGCGUGCGGGAUGACGGCCUUAGGGUUGUAAACCGAUUUCAGCAGGGACGAAGCUUUUUGUGACGGUACCUGCAGAAGAAGCACCGGCUAACUACGUG